rnacentral:lncRNA from 1 species
CGAGAUCAAAAUUGUCAAAUUUGCAGUAAAAAGGAUCAUCUCACGGCCUACAAAAUCAACCGCCCCCGUCCGUCUUUCCAAAUCCCUGUAAACGGACGCUCUUCCACUUGCAGAACAACUAUUGUGCUGCUAUUAACAACGGAUCCAGAAAAUCAGCUGCCUUGGAUAGAGUUGGGGAGGUUAACGAGCCCCUGAAAAUCAAGCCAAUCAAUCAGUCCGGCACAUCAGACCCUGCCUACGACGCGAGGAGAGAAAGACGGCAACAGCCAAGCGACGGAGCGAGGGCCUCACCUUGUCCUUCUUCGAGGGCGGCGGCGUUCCGUCCGUGCCGGCUUGACGGCGGCUCGGGAUAACCCUAGACUAGGCGAGAUGCCAACCGCCCACCGCAGAGCAGGA